CCCCAGCGCACAGCCCUCACCAUGGACUGGAGCUGGGGAGCCCUCUUCCUGGUGGCAGUGGCUGCAGGUGCCCACUCGCAGGUCCAGCUGGUGCAGUCAGGGGCUGAGCUGAGAAACCCUGGGGCAUCAGUGAAGGUCUCCUGCAAGGCUUCUGGAUACACCUUCACCAGCUACUACAUAGACUGGGUGCGACAGGCCCCUGGACAAGGGCUUGAGUGGAUGGGAAGAAUUGACCCUGAAGAUGGUGGCACAAAGUAUGCACAAAAGUUCCAGGGCAGAGUCACCUUCACUGCAGACACGUCCACCAGCACAGCCUACGUGGAGCUGAGCAGUCUGAGAUCUGAGGACACGGCCGUGUAUUACUGUGCGAGAAACACAGUGUGACACACCCACAUCCUGAGUGUGACAGAAACCCUGAGGGACUGGGAGGCUGGGCUGGGAUGAGAUGACGACAAAGCCAUUUAGGUGGCUUUUGCCAUAGAAA